AUUGAACGCUGGCGGCGUGCUUAACACAUGCAAGUCGUGCGGUAACAGGCGUAGCAAUACGUGCUGACGAGCGGCGAACGGGUGCGUAAUACAUGGGAAUCUGCCUUUUAGUGGGGAAUAACCCGGCGAAAGCCGGGCUAAUGCCGCAUAAGAUCUUCGGAUGAAAGCGGGGAUCGUAAGACCUCGCGCUGAUAGAUGAGCCCAUGCCGGAUUAGCAGUUGGUGAGGUAACGGCUCACCAAGCGACGAUCCGUAGCUGGUCUGAGAGGACGGCCAGCCACACUGGGACUGAGACACGGCCCAGACUCCUACGGGAGGCAGCAGUGGGGAAUAUCGGACAAUGGGGGAAACCCUGAUCCAGCGACGCCGCGUGUGUGAAGAAGGCCUGCGGGUUGUAAAGCACUUUCGGUGGG
rnacentral:rRNA from 1 species